AUACGGAGGAUCCGAGCGUUAUCCGGAUUUAUUGGGUUUAAAGGGAGCGUAGGUGGAUUGUUAAGUCAGUUGUGAAAGUUUGCGGCUCAACCGUAAAAUUGCAGUUGAAACUGGCAGUCUUGAGUACAGUAGAGGUGGGCGGAAUUCGUGGGGUAGCGGUGAAAUGCUUAGAUAUCACGAAGAACUCCGAUUGCGAAGGCAGCUCACUAGACAGUUACUGACACUGAUGCUCGAAAGUGUGGGUAUCAAACAGGAUUAGAUACCCUGGUAGUCCACACAGUAAACGAUGAAUACUCGCUGUUUGCGAUAUACAGUAAGCGGCCAAGCGAAAGCAUUAAGUAUUCCACCUGGGGAGUACGCCGGCAACGGUGAAACUCAAAUGAAUUGACGGGG
rnacentral:rRNA from 1 species